CAGUAGCCACGGUAAUACGAAGGGUGCAAGCGUUACUCGGAAUUACUGGGCGUAAAGCGUGCGUAGGUGGUGGUUUAAGUCCGUUGUGAAAGCCCUGGGCUCAACCUGGGAAUUGCAGUGGAUACUGGGUCACUAGAGUGUGGUAGAGGAUAGUGGAAUUUCCGGUGUAGCAGUGAAAUGCGUAGAGAUCGGAAGGAACAUCUGUGGCGAAGGCGACUAUCUGGGCCAACACUGACACUGAGGCACGAAAGCGUGGGGAGCAAACAGGAUUAGAUACCCGCGUAGUCCCUGUCUCUUAUAU
rnacentral:rRNA from 1 species